rnacentral:ncRNA from 1 species
UGGCUCUGGAGAAGCUCAUUUCAGGAGUACCGAAGGUGCAAGGCGGGGGCAAACCCCGCUGAAUCUCUCAGGUAAAAGGACAGAGUAGGG